CUACGGGCGGCUGCAGUGAGGAAUAUUGCACAAUGGGGGGAACCCUGAUGCAGCAACGCCGCGUGGAGGAUGACGUAUUUCGGUGUGUAAACUCCUUUUAUAUGUCAAGAAAAUGACGGUAGCAUAUGAAUAAGCACCGGCUAACUCCGUGCCAGCAGCCGCGGUAAUACGGAGGGUGCAAGCGUUACUCGGAAUCACUGGGCGUAAAGGACGCGUAGGCGGGUUGGAAAGUCAGGUGUGAAAUCCUACAGCUUAACUGUAGAACUGCACUUGAAACUUCUAAUCUAGAGUAUGGGAGGGGGAGAUGGAAUUAGUGGUGUAGGGGUAAGAUCCGUAGAUAUCACUAGGAAUACCUAAAGCGAAGGCGAUCUCCUGGAACAUUACUGACGCUAAGGCGUGAAAGCGUGGGGAGCAAACAGGAUUAGAUACCCCGGUAGUC
rnacentral:rRNA from 1 species